AGGAAUAUUGGUCAAUGGGCGCGAGCCUGAACCAGCCAAGUAGCGUGAAGGAUGAAGGUCCUACGGAUUGUAAACUUCUUUUAUAAGGGAAUAGAGUCACCCACGUGUGGGUGUUUGUAUGUACCUUAUGAAUAAGCAUCGGCUAACUCCGUGCCAGCAGCCGCGGUAAUACGGAGGAUGCGAGCGUUAUCCGGAUUUAUUGGGUUUAAAGGGAGCGUAGACGGGUCGUUAAGUCAGCUGUGAAAGUUUGGGGCUCAACCUUAAAAUUGCAGUUGAUACUGGCGUCCUUGAGUACGGUUGAGGCAGGCGGAAUUCGUGGUGUAGCGGUGAAAUGCUUAGAUAUCACGAAGAACCCCGAUUGCGAAGGCAGCCUGCUAAACCGCCACUGACGUUGAGGCUCGAAAGUGUGGGUAUCAAACAGGAUUAGAUACCCUGGUAGUCCACACGGUAAACGAUGGAUACUCGCUGUUGGCGAUAGACUGUCAGCGGCUUAGCGAAAGCGUUAAGCAUCCCACCUGGGGAGUACGCCGGCAACGGUGAAACUCAAAGGAAUUGACGGGGGCCCGCACAAGCGGAGGAACAUGUGGUUUAAUUCGAUGAUACGCGAGGAACCUUACCCGGGCUUGAAUUGCAGACGAAUUGCUUGGAAACAGGCAAGCCGCAAGGCGUCUGUGAAGGUGCUGCAUGGUUGUCGUCAGCUCGUGCCGUGAGGUGUCGGCUUAAGUGCCAUAACGAGCGCAACCCUCGUGUCCAGUUACUAGCAGGUUAUGCUGAGGACUCUGGACAGACUGCCAUCGUAAGAUGUGAGGAAGGUGGGGAUGACGUCAAAUCAGCACGGCCCUUACGUCCGGGGCUACACACGUGUUACAAUGGGGGGUACAGCAGGCAGCUACCGGGCGACCGGAUGCCAAUCCCGAAAGCCUCUCUCAGUUCGGACUGGAGUCUGCAACCCGACUCCACGAAGCUGGAUUCGCUAGUAAUCGCGCAUCAGCCACGGCGCGGUGAAUACGUUCCCG
rnacentral:rRNA from 1 species